rnacentral:rRNA from 1 species
AGUGAACGCUGGCGGUAGGCCUAACACAUGCAAGUCGAACGGCAGCACAGUAAGAGCUUGCUCUUACGGGUGGCGAGUGGCGGACGGGUGAGGAAUACAUCGGAAUCUACUUUUUCGUGGGGGAUAACGUAGGGAAACUUACGCUAAUACCGCAUACGACCUACGGGUGAAAGCAGGGGAUCUUCGGACCUUGCGCGAUUGAAUGAGCCGAUGUCGGAUUAGCUAGUUGGCGGGGUAAAGGCCCACCAAGGCGACGAUCCGUAGCUGGUCUGAGAGGAUGAUCAGGCACACUGGAACUGAGACACGGUCAAGACUCCUACGGGAGGCAGCAGUGGGGAAUAGUGGACAAUGGGCGCAAGCCUGAUCCAGCCAUACCGCGUGGGUGAAGAAGGCCUUCGGGUUGUAAAGCUCUUCUGUUGGGAAAGAAAAGCAGCAGGUUAAUACCCCGCUGUUCUGACGGUACCCAAAGAAUAAGCACCGGCUAACUUCGUG